rnacentral:rRNA from 1 species
UGUAGGAUAGGUGGGAGGCUUUGAAGUGUGGACGCCAGUCUGCAUGGAGCCGACCUUGAAAUACCACCCUUUAAUGUUUGAUGUUCUAACGUGGACCCGUGAUCCGGGUUGCGGACAGUGUCUGGUGGGUAGUUUGACUGGGGCGGUCUCCUCCUAAAGAGUAACGGAGGAGCACGAAGGUUGGCUAAUCCUGGUCGGACAUCAGGAGGUUAGUGCAAUGGCAUAAGCCAGCUUGACUGCGAGCGUGACGGCGCGAGCAGGUGCGAAAGCAGGUCAUAGUGAUCCGGUGGUUCUGAAUGGAAGGGCCAUCGCUCAACGGAUAAAAGGUACUCCGGGGAUAACAGGCUGAUACCGCCCAAGAGUUCAUAUCGACGGCGGUGUUUGGCACCUCGAUGUCGGCUCAUCACAUCCUGGGGCUGAAGUAGGUCCCAAGGGUAUGGCUGUUCGCCAUUUAAAGUGGUACGCGAGCUGGGUUUAGAACGUCGUGAGACAGUUCGGUCCCUAUCUGCCGUGGGCGCUGGAGAACUGAGGGGGGCUGCUCCUAGUACGAGAG